GCAUUUUCUCGCCUUAGUCCUAGAUUUUGAUCUAGACCUACCUUUGCUCUUCUUUUUCCAUCCAUUACCACUUGACUCGCCACUAGUUUGAUAUCCCUCAUGACUAUUUUGCCUAAAUUGAGUUCUACCCCGCAUCAUAUGUACCUCACCAUUCCUCUUAUCAUGUUUUUCAGCCCUAAUUUCCAUUUCUUUACUUUUAGGGGAAUCUAUGAC
rnacentral:lncRNA from 1 species